GACGAACGCUGGCGGCGUGCUUAACACAUGCAAGUCGAACGGAAAGGCCCUGCUUUUGUGGGGUGCUCGAGUGGCGAACGGGUGAGUAACACGUGAGUAACCUGCCCUUGACUUUGGGAUAACUUCAGGAAACUGGGGCUAAUACCGGAUAGGAGCUCCUGCUGCAUGGUGGGGGUUGGAAAGUUUCGGCGGUUGGGGAUGGACUCGCGGCUUAUCAGCUUGUUGGUUGGGUAGUGGCUUACCAAGGCUUUGACGGGUAGCCGGCCUGAGAGGGUGACCGGCCACAUUGGGACUGAGAUACGGCCCAGACUCCUACGGGAGGCAGCAGUGGGGAAUAUUGCACAAUGGGCGGAAGCCUGAUGCAGAAACGCCGCGUGCGGGAUGACGGCCUUCGGGUUGUAAACCGCUUUCGCCUGUGACGAAGCGUGAGUGACGGUAAUGGGUAAAGAAGCACCGGCUAACUACGUG
rnacentral:rRNA from 1 species